AGUUGAUACUGGUUUCCUUGAGUGCGGUUGAGGUGUAUGGAAUUCGUGGUGUAGCGGUGAAAUGCUUAGAUAUCACGAAGAACUCCGAUUGCGAAGGCAGUACACUAAUCCGUAACUGACGUUGAGGCUCGAAAGUGUGGGUAUCAAACAGGAUUAGAUACCCUGGUAGUCCACACGGUAAACGAUGAAUACUCGCUGUUGGCGAUAUACGGUCAGCGGCCAAGCGAAAGCAUUAAGUAUUCCACCUGGGGAGUACGCCGGCAACGGUGAAACUCAAAGGAAUUGACGGGGGCCCGCACAAGCGGAGGAACAUGUGGUUUAAUUCGAUGAUACGCGAGGAACCUUACCCGGGCUUAAAUUGCAGAGGACAGGCCGAGAGAUCGGCCCUUCUUCGGACCUCUGUGAAGGUGCUGCAUGGUUGUCGUCAGCUCGUGCCGUGAGGUGUCGGCUUAAGUGCCAUAACGAGGGUAACCCUUGCCAUUAGUUACUAACAGGUAAUGCUGAGGACUCUAGUGGGACUGCCAUCGUAAGAUGUGAGAGAAGGUGGGGAUAGCGUCAAAUCAGCACGGCCCUUACGUCCCGGGCUACACACGUGUUACAAUGGGAGGUACAGAAGGCCGCUACACGGCGACAGGGCGCCAAUCCCCAAAACCUCUCUCAGUUCGGAUUGGAGUCUGCACCCCGACUCCAUGAAGCUGGAUUCGCUAGUAAUCGCGCAUCAGCCACGGCGCGGUGGAAUACGUUCCCCGGGUCCUUGUACACAC
rnacentral:rRNA from 1 species